GCAAGAAUGCUAUAAUACCAACAUGCUCAAAAGUAGUGACAUAGACAUAGAAAGAGACUCGGUAUUUUCGGAUAGCACCCUCCACCUUCGUGUGAUACAAGGAUGCUGUGGUUCUGUUUUCACGAUUUUUAGACACUUUCACUGCAAGCUGCGGCAAUCUGUACCAAUUCAGUUUCUUUUUCCAAUAUCUUCACGCACGCUCGUCAUAUCACCGAACCAAGCGCACCGAUGCGUUCGUUGACCUAUCAAUUAAGUUAGAAUGAGAUCAAUCUCAAGCUUCGACCUCAUCUUUACGAAACCCCAAUUUUGGGUCCCUAUACAACAUCAUCUUCUCCAUUUUAGGUCCUCAACAAGAAGAAAAU
rnacentral:lncRNA from 1 species